GUGCAUACAUGUGUGCACGUAUGUGUGUGCAUAUGUAUGUGUGCAUGUGUGUGUGCAU
rnacentral:pre_miRNA from 1 species